rnacentral:miRNA from 1 species
UUAGGGUAGUUAACGGAAGUUA